UCGGGAAUAUUGCGCAAUGGAGGAAACUCUGACGCAGUGACGCCGCGUAUAGGAAGAAGGUUUUCGGAUUGUAAACUAUUGUCGUUAGGGAAGAAAAAGACAGUACCUAAGGAGGAAGCUCCGGCUAACUACGUGCCAGCAGCCGCGGUAAUACGUAGGGAGCGAGCGUUAUCCGGAUUUAUUGGGUGUAAAGGGUGCGUAGACGGCGAGUUAAGUCAGCGGUAAAGCCCGGGCUCAACCCCGGCCCGCCGUGAAAUACUGGCUUGCUUGAGUUGGAGAGAAGUAGGCGGAAUGCGCGGUGUAGCGGUGAAAUGCUUAGAUAUCGCGCAGAACUCCGAUUGCGAAGGCAGCCUACCGGCUCCACACUGACGCUGAGGCACGAAAGCGUGGGUAUCGAACAGGAUUAGAUACC
rnacentral:rRNA from 1 species